UACCAGCACCCCGAGUGGUCGGGACGUUUAUUGGGCCUAAAGCAUCCGUAGCCGGUUCUACAAGUCUUCCGUUAAAUCCACCUGCUUAACAGAUGGGCUGCGGAAGAUACUAUGGAGCUAGGAGGCGGGAGAGGCUAGCGGUACUCGAUGGGUAGGGGUAAAAUCCGUUGAUCCAUUGAAGACCACCAGUGGCGAAGGCGGCUUGCCAGAACGCGCUCGACGGUGAGGGAUGAAAGCUGGGGGAGCAAACCGG
rnacentral:rRNA from 1 species